ACUCCUACGGGAGGCAGCAGUGGGGAAUAUUGCACAAUGGGGGAAACCCUGAUGCAGCCAUGCCGCGUGUGUGAAGAAGGCCUUCGGUUGUAAAGCACUUUCAGUAGGGAGGAAGGUAGUGUAGUUAACACCUGCAUUAUUUGUACGUUACCUACAGAAGAAGCACCGGCUAACUCCGUGCCAGCAGCCGCGGUAAUACGGAGGGUGCGAGCGUUAAUCGGAAUUACUGGGCGUAAAGCGCAUGCAGGCGGCCUGUUAAGUCAGAUGUGAAAGCCCGGGGUCUUAACCUCGGAAUUGCAUUUGAAACUGGCAGGCUAGAGUCUUGUAGAGGGGUUAGAAUUUCAGGUGUAGCGGUGAAAUGCGUAGAGAUCUGAAGG
rnacentral:rRNA from 1 species